rnacentral:misc_RNA from 1 species
UUUGAUAACAUUAAUCACAGACCAAUCAGAUUAAUAGGAUGCUUAACAACUCGAAUGCAAACACCAUCCAAUGGGGAGAAUUUAUGUGGCAGUGAAGAAAUGUGUUGAAUGAAAGGGAAGGUGUAAACGUUGGCUUUCAACUACUUACUAUGAAUACAUGCAUCAGAUUUGUAAAAUUGAAAUAAAAAUAUAGCACUGAAAUUUUUUAGGGCAAAAACAGAAAAGAAUUGAAAUGCAUAUAAUAUCAAAACAAAAAUUUCAAUUUAAAUUAAUUGGAACUUGGAAGUACG